CCUGGCUGAAAAGCUAGGCCACAAGCUCUUUUAUUAGUGCCUUUUAAUAGGCUAGUAAAAUACAACUUUGAUAAUUAGUAGUGAAAAUGAAACUUAAAAAAGUGGUGGCGAGGUUAUUGGAAAUGAUAAAUUCAUUUAAUAAACAAUUUCAAUAACUGAGAUAAUUGGUAAAAGAGCUAUUUCCA
rnacentral:ncRNA from 1 species